CAAGAUGAAAGCCAAGUCGAAGUCCUGCGCACCAACUUGACUAAUUCAUUCAAUUCAAGAAAUACAAAUGAAUGCAGCAGCUUUUUACGCAAAGCUAGCACACCGGGCCAAACCACCUCCUGUUGAGAGUGCUCUCAGUGAGAGUGAGGGCAGCGAUGAGGAGUACAAUCCUAAUAAAGCAAGUGAAGGUGAUGAAAGCAGCAGCAAUGACUCUACAGUGGACAUUAGCAGCAGUGAGGAAGAUGAUGAUGAUCCGCCUCAUCCACCUCCAACCACCAGUGCUGCACCUGCAAGACCUGCAAGAGCUACAUCAAGGGCAGAUCGAGCCUAAAGCAAUAUAUCCAAAAAAAAGCCAUCCAAAUUGGGAUACAAGAUUUUUGUACUGUGCGACACAAGAGGUCUGGUGCACUCAUUUGACAUAUUCACAGGGAAAAUAGAUCCGGUACCAGGCCAACCAGACAUAGGAGCCAGUGGUAACAUUGUGCUCAAGCUUGCACAAGUCAUUCAUCCUGCUGUUCUUUGAUAACUGGUUCUCAUCUGUAGAUCUGUUUGUUGCUCUUGCAAAAAAGGGCAUACCUGCACUUGGGACCGUGCAGCACAAUCGCCUGCGUGGGUGCUGUUUCAGUGCAGACUCAUAGAUGAAGAAGAAGCGAAGAGGGACAUUUGAAGAGCAAGAGGCUCUUGUGGACAAUGUCUGCAUAAGAGCAGUCAAAUGGUUUGACAAUAGAGGGGUGAUUGUUGCCAGCACAUUUGCC